rnacentral:rRNA from 1 species
UACAGAGGUCCCAAGCGUUGUUCGGAUUCACUGGGCGUAAAGGGUGCGUAGGUGGUGAGGUAAGUCUGAUGUGAAAUCCCGCAGCUCAACUGCGGAACGGCAUCGGAUACUACUUUGCUAGAGGGUUUGAGGGGGGACUGGAAUUCUCGGUGUAGCAGUGAAAUGCGUAGAUAUCGAGAGGAACACCAGUGGCGAAGGCGAGUCCCUGGAAAACUCCUGACACUGAGGCACGAAAGCUAGGGGAGCAAACAGG